rnacentral:rRNA from 1 species
UGGGGAAUCUUGCACAAUGGGCGCAAGCCUGAUGCAGCAACGCCGCGUGCGGGAAGACGGCCCUAGGGUUGUAAACCGCUUUCAGGAGGGAAGAAAAUGACGGUACCUCCAGAAGAAGGUGCGGCCAACUACGUGCCAGCAGCCGCGGUGACACGUAGGCACCAAGCGUUAUCCGGAUUUAUUGGGCGUAAAGAGCUCGUAGGCGGUUCGGUAAGUCGGGUGUGAAAAUCCAAGGCUCAACCUUGGGACGCCACCCGAUACUGCUGUGACUCGAGUGCAGUAGGGGAGCAGGGAAUUCCUGGUGUAGCGGUGAAAUGCGCAGAUAUCAGGAGGAACACCAGUGGCGAAGGCGCUGCUCUGGGCUGUAACUGACGCUGAGGAGCGAAAAGCAUGGGGUAGCAAAACAGGAUUAGAUACCCUGGUAGUCCAUGCCGUAAAACGUUGGGCACUAGGUGUGGGUCUCAACCAACGAGAUCCGCGCCGUCGCUAACGCAUUAAGUGCCCCG